ensembl:rRNA 5S_rRNA 5S ribosomal RNA
GUCUAAGGCCAUACCACCCUGAACGUGCCUAAUCUGGUCUGAUCUUGGAAGCUAAGUAGGGUCGGGCCAGUUUAGCACUUGGAUAGGAGAAAUUCUGGCUUGUUUAAGCAGCAUAGAGUGAUGGUGCUAUACUCU